UGUGUCCUGAGAUGUUGAGUCACCUCUAGCCUGAGGCCUCUCUGCUUUGAGAAGGUUCCAUGAAGAGUAAUUUUCAACAAGAAAGAUCACAUGCAUCAAUAAAAAGAUUCUGUUAUUCUCUUCUGAAAACUCAAGACGAUCCUGGCAAUGCAUGAGAAGGACAAGAAGAAAGAGAAGAAGUUAGAUGACCAUUCAGCCUUUCUCGAGACUAAAGGAGAAACCUUCAGUUUCGAGACAAGAAGAAAAGGACAACCAGACAAGGCUGAGUACCAUUUGAUCCUUGCCCUGUCUGUGACACAGAGACGUAGGCUGCAGACUCUGUGAUCUUCUUCUUCCUCAUCUUCCCC
rnacentral:lncRNA from 1 species